ensembl:lncRNA
UGUUAGUCAGUAAGUGACUGGCUGCUCCUGUAUGGCAUUAGAACGAUGCCACCUUAUCCCAUAGUCCAGCCAAUCACGCGAUUCACAUUCGUAUAUACGCAGCUAAUCAACGUCGUUGACAGGCUAUGACAGCGCCCUUAUGUGCCGACACCGGUGCAGUGUUGCCAACUUAGCGACUUUGUCGCUAUAUUUAGCGAGUUUUCAGACCCCCUUAGCGACUUUUUUUCUGAAAAGCGACUAGCGACAAAUCUGGCGACUUUUUCUGGUGUUAUUGGAGUCUUAUUUAUGACGACUUUUUGACGUGAAAGCGCAUAUCGCUCCUACUCUCAACAAGCAGCGGGUGCUGCCGUGGGCACCUCGCCCGUGCCAAAGCGCUCAUAGGCGGAGGAUAGUCCUCACGCAGCUGCUAUCAUGGUAGGAGACGUUCACCCCUAUGCGUUCAAACUGCAAAUGAAUCGCGCAUGAGCGAAGCCGCUGCUCCCGCACUGACUGUAACGCAGUCAAUUCUUCUUUCAAUGUUAUGCUGUUUUGUGGAUCACAAGGUUUAAAACUACUCAUAAACACACACACAAAGUAACCCCACCAGAGUGCCGAUUUUGGGUCACUUUUGCCAGUCCAAGUCCGGGUAAAGGAGCAGGGUUGGAAUUGUGACAUUAAAAAAAACAAAACAAUAAUUGCUAAAAGAAAUUUAAUUUGUAGUUCUAAAUAAAUUCUAAAUGCAUUUAGGACGUUUUUUACUCACUUUAUGUCUCUUCCAUGAUGUUAUUUCUCUCUCCAACAACGUAGGUUACAUUUACAUUAGCAUGACCAAUUAUGCAAAUUAGGCGAUGACGUCAUUUAGCGACUUCUAGCGACUUUGAGGACAGCCAAUAGCGAUUUUCCUUACUGAGGAGUUGGCAACACUGCACCGGUGUUUUAGCUAGCAAAGCGGCGUGGCUGAUGUGGAGUGAAGCCACGUUAAUGACAACGUGUACAACCAUUGGAGAUGUGAGCAGGACAGACAGGCAAAUUGGAGGAGAAGGCUGCUGGCCUGGCUCGCAGAACACUAAGCCCGACGCCCUCUCACACCAGUUCUCAUUGCUUUUGGAAGCGUCAGAAAAAGAGAAACCCAUCCUACCCGCUAGAUGCAUAGUGGGGUCGCUCACUUGGGAGACAGAGAGACUCCUCCGCGAGGCACGACGGAACUGGAUCGUUGAGUUGUCAAGUGUCAAGGGAGCGGAGCAAUUGUGGAAUCGAGUGUUGGAAACUGCUUACCUGCCACGGAUCACGAGCACAGGGCGGGAAUCAGGAGCACACUCACGGAAACCACACCAUUGGAAUUGUUGCACAGUUUGCUCACUGGGCUACUCGCUCGCCCUAUUGCCCGUUCUCCCCUGCUCUCGCUCUCUGUUUGUCACGUAGCUAGUUAACUGAGGUUGACUAGGAAUGCACCUGUACACUAAUUGCAGGGUGGCGCCUGCUCAUAUAAGGCUAUGCAGGCUUUCCUCCCGUUCAUUCCUCCUUUGCCUCCUGCAAGCAACAUUGCGAGCAGAUAUAUCUUCAGGAUAAAUCGGGUAGUUUUGAUCGGGCUACACCACAGCCACAGAGAGACAGUAUUUUAGUUGUCCCCCCAAGGGGGGACUGUUUUCACUGCAACGCGUAUGCUGCGUCAUCACACCCCUGCCUGAGAGAGAGUGUACCACAAGAAAAAUGGCAUCCAUGAGGAAAGGUUUUACCGCGUGUUAACGUGGAAUAAAGUUCCCAAAAUCUUAAGGAUCAAUUUCCUUUGAGUUGAUUGCUGUUGAUGCUGCAAUACUAAACAUAUUCCUUUUUGACUUCAGCUGUCGUGGAGAUAGGUAGUUGCAGUAUUAUCAGCAGAUUCAGUUUAGCAACUUCAGUCCUGGGGUAAGCAGCCGCUAACUAUAUUUUUUCCUGACUCCUAACUAGAGAAGGCUAAGCGCUAAAUGCAUUUUCGUUUUCAGGCUCUGAUUGCUGCUAUAAGCCUCUCCUCAUCUGUUUGUGUUCCAGCCCAACUGAACUAUAGAAACACCUGUAGUAGGCGCUGUUUUGGGACUUGUCCUCAAAGGAGCUGCUGCCUUGUGCCCCGGUUGAUUUUAUUUUUAUUGGUUUUAUUUUCUUUUACCUUGCCUUGUUUUAUUUAGUUAAUUUGUGGACCGUUUAUACUUGUGCCCACGUGACCGAGCGAGAGUGAUCCCCUCCUGGUGUGUCGUGCUGGUUCUUUGUUACCUCUGCACCGACCCAGCUGAUUUGCUCCAGGAGCUGUAGAGGAUUCCUCUUUGUGAGGGGGUCACGAUCAGUAUUUUAACCACUGUAACCAGUACAGACUGCUCUUCACUUGCGUGGUGCAAGCCCUUCAAUCUAUUUUGUUUUGUGUGUGUGUGUGUGUGUGUGUGUGUGGUUGUUUUCUUAAAAUCUGAAAUUUAUAUUGUCACCUGACUGCUCACAGCGAGCUUGGUAUUCCUUCCUUUUAAUGUGUUGUGGGUUUUUUUUGUUUGUUUUUUUGUGGCUUUUCACGUGUUGUGUUUUUUGUUGUUUUAAAUCCAGUGAACCAAGGACCCACCAGUGGCCACUGUUUUAGGAUGGGCUGUGUCACAGUCAUCUUUUAUUGUUUUUUUUUCUUUGUUUUAUUUUUUUUACAAACCCAAAUAAAGACAUGUUAAUAUUGGAGCCAAUCUGCCUCAGUGCCGCAUCCUUGAUCCUGUGUGACCUUUUU